AAACCGCAUGCAUACAAGCAGUGGGAGCCGACUUGUUCGGUGACUGCGUACCUUUUGUAUAAUGGGUCAGCGACUUAUAUUCAGUAGCGAGGUUAACCGUAUAGGGGAGCCGUAGGGAAACCGAGUCUUAAUAGGGCGUUUAGUUGCUGGGUAUAGACCCGAAACCUCCAAGGCUAAAUACUCCUGACUGACCGAUAGUGAACCAGUACCGUGAGGGAAAGGCGAAAAGAACCCCUGUGAGGGGAGUGAAAUAGAUCCUGAAACCGCAUGCAUACAAGCAGUGGGAGCCGACUUGUUCGGUGACUGCGUACCUUUUGUAUAAUGGGUCAGCGACUUAUAUUCAGUAGCGAGGUUAACCG
rnacentral:rRNA from 1 species